GACGAACGCUGGCGGCGUGCUUAACACAUGCAAGUCGAGCGGUAAGGCCCUUUCGGGGGUACACGAGCGGCGAACGGGUGAGUAACACGUGGGUGACCUGCCCUCAGCUCUGGGAUAAGCCUGGGAAACUGGGUCUAAUACUGGAUAUGACUCCACGGUGCAUGUCGUGGGGUGGAAAGCCUUGUGCGGCUGAGGAUGGGCCCGCGGCCUAUCAGCUUGUUGGUGGGGUGAUGGCCUACCAAGGCGACGACGGGUAGCCGGCCUGAGAGGCGACCGGCCACACUGGGACUGAGACACGGCCCAGACUCCUACGGGAGGCAGCAGUGGGGAAUCUUGCGCAAUGGGCGAAAGCCUGACGCAGCGACGCCGCGUGAGGGAUGACGGCCUGG
rnacentral:rRNA from 1 species